rnacentral:lncRNA from 1 species
UAUAUUGUUAUCAAUAAAUGAGAAGAUUGAUAGUGUUAUUAGUGUUCUUGUUUUGCUAAAUUGUGAAUAUUGUUGUCAAGAAAUGAGAAGAUUGAUAGUGUUAUUAGUGUUUUUGUUUUGCUAAAUUUUGUAUAUUGUUAUCAAGAAAUGAGAAUAUUGAUAGUGUUAUUAGUGUUCUUGUUAUCAAGAAACGUUUGACGCUGACCCUUUAGCAAAAUCUCUCAAAAAUAAAAGGCAUUGCCAUGGGGAAUUCUCCAUGGCUUUUGUUCAGUCAAAUAAGGAUAUGGAAGAUCACAACCAAGUCGAUGUAAGUCAUGACGCACUGUUCAUUUUAAUUUAUGAUGGCUUCAAAGGCCACACCACUGCUUCCUAUAUUCGUACGCACAUCUUUAGGANACCAAGUCGAUGUAAGCCAUGACGCACUGUUCGUUCGAUUUUAUGAUGGCUUCAAAGGCCACACCACUGCUUCCUAUAUUCGUACGCACAUCUUUAGGAUUUAUUACGUGAGUUAUUUCUUUGCUUCUUUUUUCUUAGCAUACUAAUCUGUAUAUUGUUAUCAAGAAAUGAGAAGAUUGCUAGUGUAAUUAGUGUUCUUGUUUUGCUAAAUUUUGUAUAUUGUUAUCAAGAAAUGAGAAGAUUGAUAGUCUUAUUAGUGUUCUUGUGUUGAUAAAUUUUGUAUAUUGUUAUCAAGAAAUGAGAAGGUUGAAAGUGUUAUUCGUGUUCUUGUUUUGAUAAAUUUUGUAUAUUGUUGUCAAGAAAUGAGAUGAUUGAUAGUGUUAUUAGUGUUCUUGUUUUGCUAAAUUUUGUAUAUUGUUAUCAAGAAAUAAGAAGAUUGAUAUUGUUUUUAUUAUUCUUGUUUUGCUAAAUUAUGUAUAUUGUUAUCAAGAAAUGAGAAGACUGAUAGUGUUAUUAGUGUUCUUGUUUUGCUAAAUUUGGUAUAUUGUUAUCAAGAAAUGAGAAGAUUGAUAGUG